GAUUUACAGCUACAAAGGAUCUCAGGGAUUGUCCACUCCAGGUGUCUAAUUUUACAGAAGAUGAAAUUCAGUCCCAGGGAGGAAGGGAGUCACAGAAAAUCACAUGAGGCUGAACCUGGAUCCUCCAGCUCAGAACCAGUAUUCGUUCAACUAUGCCAUCCUUCCCUCGAUCAGACUGAGGUCCCAUCCCAACUCUGAGGGGACAGUUACGAGAAAACUUGGCUGCCCUGCCUCAUCUGGAAAUCAUCGUUGGAUAAGCAUCUCUCUGGGGAUAAAACGUCAGUGUGUCCAGAAUCUGUGCCUUCAUUGAUGUGAACAUUCCCCCCAUUUCUACAAAUGGCCUUUGACACCCCUGGAGAAUUGUUGUGGCCAAAAAACUCAUCUUUCUGUGGACAGCUCUGGAGUGGGCUAGACUGAAGAUCAAAUCACAGAAUUCCAUCUCUCCCUGACCUAGAACAUUUCUGUGAGAAGGGACUCACAAAACCUCAGAUUCGAAGUUGGUUUAAGCCUCCUUGGCCUCCACGUCAAGACCAAGCCUGGGGAAAAACUCCAAUAUGAGAACUUUAGCCCCUCCCAAGGCAGCCUGUUCCAUUUUUGCAUAGCUCAACUUGUUGGCAAAGCUUGUAGACAUUGAACCUAAGUUUUCCUCUUGGGAAGUUCUUUCAUUCCUUCCCCACUCUGGGACCAAAGAGAACCAGUUGAAUCCCUCCUCCACAUGGCAGCCUUUCAAUUGCUAUGACAUCUCCCCCACUCACCCCAGGCUUCUCUUCUCUUCUCUAGCCCCCCACACCUCCCAGAGGGCUUCCGAUGCUAUGGUCUUGAGGCCAUUCGUCAUUCUGGUCACCACACUCUUGACAUGCUCUGGUUGUCCACUUCCUUCCUAAAGAGAGACGUUUGUUCAGGAGCGGGUGAAAGAGUCUUCGUGGAAUGGGACAGAGUACCAACUUCUGGGGCGACGUGGAGAGGCCUCAUGGAGGAGGAAGCAGCUGAGCUGAGUCACAAAGGAACGAAGGGAUGCCAAGAGGCAGAGGGGAGGGGAAAAGGCACUCCUGGCAUGGGGAGAGAAACACGGAAAAGGAUGGAGACAGGCGAUGGGACAGAAGGACCUCCAGUCUCUCGGAGGGAAGCUUCUCCCCGAGGAAUUCAUUUAAAAAGAGAAUUGCCUAAAAGCAUAACUUGUGAUCCACUUGAUGACAAAAACUGACACCAUGGUGUGCCCAGAAUCUCUCAGAUUCAAGUAGCCAUUAUUUUGACAAUGCUUGGAGAUGAAGACUUUUUUUCUGUUUCUUCUAAUAAUGAAAAGACAAAUGUCUUCCCUGUGAACUCAUGAAGGAAAUCGUUUAAUGAGCCAAUUCAAUCUAGAGCCCAAAAUAAUGAUCUUCCCAAACAGGAAGAAUUGUGUUGACUGUUUAUGGACUGUUGGGAACGCCUUUGGGAGUUUUCUGUAUUUGUUAGCAGAUGCCUGUGCUGUCUGCUUUUUCUGUGGGAUAAAAUAAAGGUUGCACUAUUUGCA
rnacentral:lncRNA from 1 species